AAGCGCCUUUGGAUUCAAUAUUUACAAAACUACAUUAAUUAACAAAUUUGGUUUGCCUGCUAUUGAUUGCGCGCAACACAUAGCGACAAACCGGAAACCAAAAGGACUAACAGGACACCUAUACACACAUGCGCACAGAUUGUGAAUUAGCAGAACCUCAGGCCUCGGAGACAGUUGCCUGCUCUUCAAGUGAAGAAGUCGUACCAGUGCUUUCAGGCUCCUCAGAAGUGAUGACCAGUUCCUGGGCAGCCUCCUCCACAGCUUCAGCCACUUCUGCAACUGCCUGCACCUCCUGCGUAACCUCGGGAGCUUCGGCCACGACCUCAGGAGCUUCGGCCACGACCUCAGGAGCUUCGGCCACGACCUCCGGAGCUUCAGCCACGACCUCCGGAGCUUCGGCCACGACCUCCGGAGCUUCGGCCACGACCUCCGGAGCUUCGGUCAUGACCUCAACCUCUGCUGCGCUGUCAGCAACUGCAGCCUCAUGUUCCUCAACAUCACUCCUUCCAGUUGGUUCUUCCUCUCCACCUGCAAGAACCAGACACUGUUUACAAGAGCACUAGUUUGGCAGCCACUAGUGUUAAAUAAAAGUCAUCAUUGGUGCAGUCUGCACAAGCAAUUAACAUAUCAUAUAUCAAAGAUUAUCUAGAUCACUUUAAAAAUGCAUUACACAGUCAUAUUAAUAAUGUUAUUAUAAUGUAGCUGGAUUUCCAUCCAAGGCAUGUGAAACAAAACAAUGGAAAGAAGGCUGCUUAAACUUUCCAAUUUUGUGAGAACUAGUCAGAAAAUGGGAUAGAAGUGAUAAAUUGAGAAGCACCUUAUUUUGACCUCAGCUAUACAUUUACAGUCCACCAGGACAUUGGUUCAGUGUAGCAGUAAAUAAACUCUCUGAGGAACAGUCCCUCUCCAUACUCAAGGUUUAUGGGUCAGGCCAUGUUUUGUGGCUUACAACAUCUGACUAACAUUUGUUAUGGAAUGUGGAAAAACAUUUAGCUGACCCUUUGUGAAUAUGGGCUAUGAUAUGAUCACCUCAAAAUUUAGACUUGAUAGAAACAUUAACAACUUAAAGGUUUGGAUCUGAGGCCAGCACGCCAGAUCUAGAAAUCAUUCAGCUUCCUUAAGCUUCCUGAAUCUUGAAUGGAUUCAACUUCCUGAAGCAGACAGAGACAGAGCCCCAGGCUGAGACAGAGCCCCGAGGACUGAGUGGCAGCCUGUGUCUACAACAGCAAACCAAAACACAGCUAAUGACAGCCCUGUGGACGGACCUAGUGCCGGGCCAAGGACAUGCCCCACUAGACUGGACCAAACCAGGCCAGAAACAAGAGGAGACGUAUUCACUACAUGCAAACGGAAAGACUAGUAGGAUGAGAGACAAAGCGGGGGGGAGGGGUUGGGGGCAGAUAGACAGAGACAGACAGGCAGGCAGGCAGGCAGGCAAGCAAGCAGGCAGGCACAGACAGGGUUGUGCUUCUUUAAGCUUCAGCUCAAGUUUUCUUGAUGCCACUGGCAAAGGAAUCGAUUGCCUUAAGACCAUGAGGAAGCGUUGUCACCUGUAUCUAACACACUUGGGUUCACUGCAGGGAUCUGAUGUCUGGUGCAUGUAAUGUUUUAUCAGCCGUGAGAUGGAAGUAAUUUUAAUGAAGAAACAAAAAUAAGGUUGAAACUAAUUUGCUCACUGAGCUCAUUCAGAAUGAAAAAGGUGUCAGACCAGUAGUCACAGCAUUACCCAGAGGCUUAAGCUUAGAAGAGGAUUCUUUUUGCAGUAGAGGAGAAGAGGAAAAGGGAAGAAAGGGACUUUUUCUUGUUCACAUCCAGUGUAGAUCUAGGACGAAUAUCCAUGCGGCCACAGAGGACCUUAGCUUUAGCAUUAGCUGAAAAGAGCAAAGAGAGACGGUUAGAGAAAUAGGAAAUAUUUAUUUACAGUCACUCUCUAAGUUCUUGAAUCUAAGUUCAACUACAGUUAAAAAUGGAUAUACGCUGAGCAAAAUGUGCUGAAGGUCAAUCAAAGGUUAUGAGAGGAAGCCUCUCCAAAGUCAGCAGUAUGCCUCAGUGGUCCGCUACCUGACCUGAGCUCGAAAUGGUGCAAAGCUCUGUUUCUAUUUGACUACUCCUACCAAGGUAGGUGAGGAACACAAUGAGGGACAAAAGGGGUCCAGUGGGUCACAUUAGUGAAUGAAGCCUGAGGUCAACAAGGAGGACACAUGUUCAAACGUCUACGCACACUGUGCUGCACCGGCCACCUUCUUAGGUACUGAGUCCAAAACAGCAACUCUGAAAUUUAUUCUACUUUUAUGGUUUAGUUCUCUAAUUCAUGUUUCCUGAGGCCAGGGAGGGGUUGUAGUCCAGUGGAGCGAAGUAGAGAUGGUUCUAACAUGGUGGUCAGCAUGGGGUUCAAAUCAUUUUUCCCUAACUGUAAAUGUAUUUAUGACUAAUCGUGUGAUGUAUAGAACUUUCCCAAUGACCAGCAACCUGUGAGCUUCGCCCAGCUCUUUAAUGUAACCUUGGCUAACAAAUCUUUGUGUGUGAUUAAAAAUGCAGUGCUUAGAUUAAAUCACAUUAAUACAACUUGUGAUCUCAGACUGAUGAAUACAAGCCAUUUCCCCAUGCUGUCGUUCCUUUGAUCAGGUCAAUGUUUAGUAAGCAUUAGGUGCCAUCAGGCAGUGAAAAUUACUAAUUAUGGUACUCACCAUCUUCAUCAUCCUUGCCUGUAAAUGGAGAAAGAGUGCAUUUAGACAUGUCACACACGACUGCCGUAAGUCUGCCCUUAAUGUGUGUACAUACAUAUACAUGAGGCCGAAUCUCAGUAAAGACAGAGUGGUGGGUCAACUAGGUGAGCGGGGAAUAUGUUGCUGGACCAAUUAUCUUAAACAUCUUCUACUACUACUGUACUACUACUACUACUACUACUACUACUACUACUACUACUACUACUACUACUACUACUACUACUACUACUACUACAAGGAACAUUUAGACGAUUGUAAUGUGAAUAAAACUAUACAAGAAUUUAUGGGGAAAAAAACUGGGUAAACUCUGCCCAAAGGACAGCAUUCACAUUUGUGAAAAUCCUGGGGGACAGACAUGAGUGAGAACUAUCUACUCACAUUUUCUGUUACUUAGUGACUGUGUUGUCACUACUAUUAGUGAUGUCACAGAAACAGGAAACCGAUGACACUGCUGAUUUGACUAAUCAGUCUCUGGAAAACGGUGAACUAACAGCUAUACCAGAUUACAUGACAGCAGAGUUAUGUCAUACAGCUGAAGUUCAAGUUCUUUACACAAUCGUAGGCAAACAUGGCGACUAUGGAGCUAGGUGAACUCUGAACAGUUCUUGAUGUUGUUCUGCUCCUUUCACAGUGCCUGAGGCCAAAUCCCUAGCCUGAUUUAACCUUACAUACAACUUUAAUAAAACCAACCAGCUGU